rnacentral:rRNA from 1 species
CAAGGCUUGACAUGAACCGGAAAGACCUGGAAACAGGUGCCCCGCUUGCGGUCGGUUUACAGGUGGUGCAUGGUUGUCGUCAGCUCGUGUCGUGAGAUGUUGGGUUAAGUCCCGCAACGAGCGCAACCCUUAUCCUUUGUUGCCAGCACGUCAUGGUGGGAACUCAAAGGAGACUGCCGGUGAUAAACCGGAGGAAGGUGGGGAUGACGUCAAGUCAUCAUGGCCCUUACGAGUAGGGCUACACACGUGCUACUAUGGCGCAUACAAAGAGAAGCGACCUCGCGAGAGCAAGCGGACCUCAUAAAGUGCGUCGUAGUCCGGAUUGGAGUCUGCAACUCGACUCCAUGAAGUCGGAAUCGCUAGUAAUCGUGGAUCAGAAUGCCACGGUGAAUACGUUCCC